rnacentral:rRNA from 1 species
AACGGCGAGUGAAGCGGCAACAGCUCAAAUUUGAAAUCUGGCUCUCGGGCCCGAGUUGUAAUUUGUAGAGGAUACUUUUGAUGCGGUGCCUUCCGAGUUCCCUGGAACGGGACGCCAUAGAGGGUGAGAGCCCCGUCUGGUUGGAUGCCAAAUCUCUGUAAAGUUCCUUCAACGAGUCGAGUAGUUUGGGAAUGCUGCUCUAAAUGGGAGGUAUAUGUCUUCUAAAGCUAAAUACCGGCCAGAGACCGAUAGCGCACAAGUAGAGUGAUCGAAAGAUGAAAAGCACUUUGAAAAGAGAGUUAAAAAGUACGUGAAAUUGUUGAAAGGGAAGCGUUUAUGACCAGACUUGGGCUUGGUUAAUCAUCUGGGGUUCUCCCCAGUGCACUUUUCCAGUCCAGGCCAGCAUCAGUUUUCCCCGGGGGAUAAAGGCGGCGGGAAUGUGGCUCUCUUCGGGGAGUGUUAUAGCCCACCGUGUAAUACCCUGGGGGGGACUGAGGUUCGCGCAUCUGCAAGGAUGCUGGCGUAAUGGUCAUCAACGACCCGUCUUGAAACACGGACCAAGGAGUCGUCUUCGUAUGCGAGUGUUCGGGUGUCAAACCCCUACGCGUAAUGAAAGUGAACGCAGGUGAGAGCUUCGGCGCAUCAUCGACCGAUCCUGAUGUUCUCGGAUGGAUUUGAGUAAGAGCAUACGGGGCCGGACCCGAAAGAAGGUGAACUAUGCCUGUAUAGGGUGAAGCCAGAGGAAACUCUGGUGGAGGCUCGCAGCGGUUCUGACGUGCAAAUCGAUCGUCAAAUAUGGGCAUGGGGGCGAAAGACUAAUCGAACCUUCUAGUAGCUGGUUUCCGCCGAAGUUUCCCUCAGGAUAGCAGUGUUGAACUCAGUUUUAUGAGGUAAAGCGAAUGAUUAGGGACUCGGGGGCGCUAUUUAGCCUUCAUCCAUUCUCAAACUUUAAAUAUGUAAGAAGCUC